UGUGAUCUGGGAGUAAGCAUUAUUAGAUUAUUUUAAUAAAGCAGUUCAAAGAGGAAAAUAUGCUUAAACAAACAUUUGAAAAAUUAGAAGUUCGAAAUGGGAGUAGGGGUGCAGACAAUGAGAUGAGCAAUGAGGGGGGAGAAGGGUAUUCCAGGCGGAUGGAACAACAGAUACAAAGACACAGAGCAAGGGUCAACAAACUACAGCUCCUGGCUCAAACCCAGCCCUUGACUAUUUUUGUAAGCGAAGUUUCAUUGGAACACAGCCAUAUCCACUUGUUUACUCGUCAUCUACUAUUGUUUCGAACCUCUGGCAUAGAGGCACCAGAAGCACAGUAAAGAGAAUGAGAGGUAGCAAACUACUGCUACCCAGUUUGCAGUGAACUGUUCAUGUGGAAGAGGGACAGUAAAUAAAGCCAGUUAGCAGGAGCCAGGUGAUGAAGGGCCUCACAGGCCAUGAAAAGGGUUUACAUAGGGAGCAGGUGUUAGGUAAUUGGAUGCACCGCAGAGGACAGAGUGGAUAGGGGAGAGACUGGAGGCUGAGAGGCCAGUUAAGAGGCAAGGGAAAUAGAAGAUGGGAGUUUGGUUCCCACGGUGAUUUAAAUAAAGGGGAGGGGGUACAAUUUCAAAAAAAUUUUCAGAGACAGAUUAUGCUAACUUUGUGAAUAUUUUGAUUCAAAUGAGUACAAAGAAGAGCAAGAACAGACCAUGGCUCCCCGGCCUCUGAAUGGGAUGAACUGGUCCAUGAUGGUGCCAUCCUCCAAGACUGAGAUUCCAGAGGAAGAGUUAUGAGAAAGGGGAAGGAUAUAAUUUCGGUCAUGGACACUUUGAAGUUGAGACGACACUGAGACAUCCAAAUGGGGAAAUAUUGAUCUGCACAAAUAGGCAGUGUGGAUUGAGUAAACAGUUUAUCAAAGAAUAAUCAAAACCCUGAUUGUGGUUAGCCUGCUUAAGGAAAGCACAGAUGGUGAUACAUACAGUGAAGAGAUGGGAUGGUGGGAGGGGUGAUGCAAUAAUUGAUCCAUUAGGGAACAACAGCCAGGCGUUGGGAGGAUGAGAAGAUUUUGCCAAUAGUUUGUAAUGGUGAUCAAACAUGGCAAGAACAACUGGUAUCUCAGGAAUCACAUAAAUUUCAAUCCUUAUGUGAUAUAGACAGGAGGCCCAGGUGGUGAAGGGCAAUGAAAGAAGCUGAGAAGACCAGGCAUGUGAGUAUGUGUAAGUAUGUGCAAGAGCCGUGGCCUAUCCCCAUUCAUUCAUUCACGAAGCUGAGAGGAGGAGGAAGUGCUGCUGUAUCUUUGGCACACAGUUUCAGCUGAUGACAACCAGUUUGAAGACCCCCAAAAGAAGAACCAAACUGCAUGAGAAUUCAGUUUCUUCAUCUCCCUACCCCAUGAUUUCACCUUGUUCUCUCUGACCAAUAACCAUCUCCCCACUUUGGCCCUCUCCAAAACCCUUAAAAAUUCUAAGCCCAAACUCCCCAGGGAGACAGAUUUGAGGUUUCCUCCCAUCUCCUCAUUCAAUGGCUCUGCAAUUAAACCUGUUUCUCUGCCGCAGCCUGGUAUCUCAGCAUAUUGACUUGCCACGUGCAUCAAGCAACAAACCUUUUACUGUUAUACUACUCAAAAUAUGCCUCUUUGGAAUGAGGACUAUUUUGAGCUGGUUAUUUAGAGAAACUGCAGACACACACAAAAAAACUCUGAAAUGAAGAGUAGAAGUUACCCUAUUGUAAGAGAAAUUUACAACUAUAAAGGAAAUCUCCAUUUAUAAGGGUGUUUCCCUCUCUCCAUCAGGAAGAGAAGGAUGACUAAAUCACUAGAAAAACCCAUCAAUGGAAAAAGCAUCAGUUUAAAUCUCCAUAACAAAUCUUACUCUUGUUUACAGUGUUUUUUCCUGGCCACCUACCUAUAACUGGGACUUUCCCCCAAACUCUUCUUACUUUGUUUCAAGGGAUGAUCAUAUUUAAGCCUGAAAAGUAAUACAACUCUUCGAGAUCUACUCUUUAUAGUUACUCUUGGAGAAUUUAUUCUUUGAGAUUUUCCUAUGUAUCUCCCAUGUAUAUAGGGUAUACAUGUUAUUAAA
rnacentral:lncRNA from 1 species